UCCGGGACUUGAGGGGUGGGGUGGGGUGGCAUCAUGUUGGGGAAGAAACGCCACACAGGGCCCAAAUGCGGAUAGGACUGCCGGAAAAUGCAAACCAAAUUACUUUACUAUUUGCAAGUGAAAGUGGACCUGUAAUGCUCUAGGAAUACACGGAUAAUGUCAGUGUGGACUUUUAUUCCCUCAACCGAGCUUGCACAGUUCCCAAAUGUUACUGCCUGAAGUGUGAUUUAGAGCUGGUUGUGCCUGGGUGGAGCUCAGACUGCACUCAGAAGCUGGUACCUGAGGUGCGAAAGGAAAGGAACAGAGCUACAAACCAAAAUUAUACUAUGAAGAGACAAAUGUUCACAAGGUGUUUUUCCUUGAGGACAGGUAAGCACCUCUCUGUAAAUCAGUGGAAUCUAAGAGGAAUGAACAGUCUUUUACCACAACAUUGAAAUGGUAAUUGAAGCUGUAUUAAUUAAGGAGUAGUGUUAAUGCUUAACUCCUGGAAUACUACAUAAACUUUAUGGAUUGUG